UACGGGGGGGGUAAGCGUUGUUCGGAAUUACUGGGCGUAAAGGGCUCGUAGGCGGCCAACUAAGUCAUACGUGAAAUCCCUCAGCUUAACUGGGGAACUGCGUGUGAUACUGGAUGGCUUGGAUUUGGGAGAGGGAUGCGGAAUUCCAGGUGUAGCGGUGAAAUCGCGUAGAUAUCUGGAGGAACACCGGUGGCGAAGGCGGCAUCCUGGACCAAUAUUGACGCUGAGGAGCGAAAGCUAGGGGAGCAAACGGG
rnacentral:rRNA from 1 species